rfam:Halorientalis sp. IM1011, complete genome.
CUGACGGACGCGUUCGGGUCAAUUGCGGACUGCAACACCCGAUCUCCCUCCCCGAGCCCGACGGCGGGCUGGCGGAGGGGGAGCGCGUAUCCAUCAG